rnacentral:rRNA from 1 species
AGGGAAUCUUCGGCAAUGGACGGAAGUCUGACCGAGCAACGCCGCGUGAGUGAAGAAGGUUUUCGGAUCGUAAAGCUCUGUUGUAAGAGAAGAACGAGUGUGAGAGUGGAAAGUUCACACUGUGACGGUAUCUUACCAGAAAGGGACGGCUAACUACGUGCCAGCAGCCGCGGUAAUACGUAGGUCCCGAGCGUUGUCCGGAUUUAUUGGGCGUAAAGCGAGCGCAGGCGGUUAGAUAAGUCUGAAGUUAAAGGCUGUGGCUUAACCAUAGUACGCUUUGGAAACUGUUUAACUUGAGUGCAAGAGGGGAGAGUGGAAUUCCAUGUGUAGCGGUGAAAUGUGUAGAUAUAUGGAGGAACACCGGUGGCGAAAGCGGCUCUCUGGCUUGUAACUGACGCUGAGGCUCGAAAGCGUGGGGAGCAAACAGGAUUAGAUACCCUGGUAGUCCACGCCGUAAACGAUGAGUGCUAGGUGUUAGACCCUUUCCGGGGUUUAGUGCCGCAGCUAACGCAUUAAGCACUCCGCCUGGGGAGUACGACCGCAAGGUUG